UGGCUCAGAACGAACGCUGGCGGCAUGCCUAACACAUGCAAGUCGAACGAGACCUUCGGGUCUAGUGGCGCACGGGUGCGUAACGCGUGGGAAUCUGCCCUCUGGUUCGGAACAACUCAGGGAAACUUGAGCUAAUACCGGAUAAUGACUUCGGUCCAAAGAUUUAUCGCUGAAGGAUCGGCCCGCGUCUGAUUAGCUAGUUGGUGAGGUAACGGCUCACCAAGGCGACGAUCAGUAGCUGGUCUGAGAGGAUGAUCAGCCUCACUGGGACUGAGACACGGCCCAGACGACUACGGGAGGCAGC
rnacentral:rRNA from 1 species